rnacentral:rRNA from 1 species
UACGUAGGGUGCAGGCGUUAAUCGGAAUUACUGGGCGUAAAGCGUGCGCAGGCGGUUUCUUAAGUCAGAUGUGAAAGCCCCGGGCUUAACCUGGGAACUGCGUUUGAAACUGGGAGACUUGAGUGUGGCAGAGGGGGGUGGAAUUCCACGUGUAGCAGUGAAAUGCGUAGAUAUGUGGAGGAACACCGGUGGCGAAGGCGGCCCACUGGUCCGGUACUGACGCUGAGGUGCGAAAGCGUGGGGAGCAAACAGG